rnacentral:rRNA from 1 species
UACGGAGGGUGCAAGCGUUAAUCGGAAUAACUGGGCGUAAAGGGCAUGUAGGCGGAUUGGAAAGUAAGGUGUGAAAUACCCGGGCUCAACCUGGGAAUUGCAUUUUAAACUAUCAGUCUAGAAUAUUGCAGGGGGAGAUGGAAUUUCAGGUGUAGCGGUGGAAUGCGUAGAUAUCUGAAAGAACACCAGAGGCGAAGGCGAUCUCCUGGGCAAAUAUUGACGCUGAGAUGCGAAAGCGUGGGUAGCAAACAGG